GCCCGCGAAGCAGGCAGGGUGGGAAGGGAGCAGCGGCUGGCGUUGCCGGUAUGUUGCCGGGG
rnacentral:SRP_RNA from 1 species